GGCCUGCUAGCUCAGUCAGUUGAAGCAUCGUGCUAAUAACGCGAAGGUCGUAGGUUCGAUCCCUGCGCAGGCCA
rnacentral:tRNA from 1 species